rnacentral:rRNA from 1 species
CACGUAGGCGGAUUAGUCAGUCAGAGGUGAAAUCCCAGGGCUCAACCCUGGAACUGCCUUUGAUACUGCUAGUCUUGAGUUCGAGAGAGGUGAGUGGAAUUCCGAGUGUAGAGGUGAAAUUCGUAGAUAUUCGGAGGAACACCAGUGGCGAAGGCGGCUCACUGGCUCGAUACUGACGCUGAGGUGCGAAAGCGUGGGGAGCAAACA